UCAGAUCAACAUAAAUCCCACGUGACUUCAGGGGUUAAUCAUAACAUAACUUGGUCUGAAACCAACAGAACUGCUUAUUUGUCUUCCAUGGAUUCAUGUAUUUCAUAUAUACUGAACAGGAUCAUGGAAAGUUUAAUGGAGAUGGGAGCUGAUUAUUUCACCCAAGAGAUAGGAAAAUUGCUAGAAGAUAAAUUAAUGGCAUAUGGAAUGACAAUGGCGACUAUCUUAAGGCUGAUGCUUAUGUUUCCAGUCAAGAAGAUACUGAUAUGUGUACUAAGGAAAACAGCUUCAUUUAUAUACAACCUGUUGUACAUGAGGAAACAUUCUAAAGACGACAUAUAUUUCUUCAGAAAGAUGAUGGGACACCAACCAGAACAAGUAACUGUUGCUUAAUUUCUAUUUAUAAAUCUAGCAUGAUCUGUGCAUUAAGUAGGGAAAUCUUAAAAGACAACAUCA
rnacentral:lncRNA from 1 species